UGCAAAGGGCGGGUGCUUAUACAUGCAAGUCGAGCGGACCUUUUAAAGCUUGCUUUUGAAAGGUCAGCGGCGGACGGGUGAGUAACACGUGGGCAACCUGCCUGUAAGACUGGGAUAACUUCGGGAAACCGGAGCUAAUACCGGAUAAUAUAAGGAACCUCCUGGUUCUUUAUUGAAAGAUGGUUUCGGCUAUCACUUACAGAUGGGCCCGCGGCGCAUUAGCUAGUUGGUGAGGUAAUGGCUCACCAAGGCGACGAUGCGUAGCCGACCUGAGAGGGUGAUCGGCCACACUGGGACUGAGACACGGCCCAGACUCCUACGGGAGGCAGCAGUAGGGAAUCUUCCACAAUGGACGAAAGUCUGAUGGAGCAACGCCGCGUGAGCGAUGAAGGCCUUCGGGUCGUAAAGCUCUGUUGUUAGGGAAGAACAAGUGCGAGAGUAACUGCUCGCACCUUGACGGUACCUAACCAGAAAGCCACGGCUAACUACGUGCCAGCAGCCGCGGUAAUACGUAGGUGGCAAGCGUUGUCCGGAAUUAUUGGGCGUAAAGCGCGCGCAGGUGGUCCUUUAAGUCUGAUGUGAAAGCCCACGGCUCAACCGUGGAGGGUCAUUGGAAACUGGGGGACUUGAGUGCAGAAGAGGAAAGUGGAAAUUCCAAGUGUAGCGGUGAAAUGCGUAGAGAUUUGGAGGAACACCAGUGGCGAAAGCGACUUUCUGGUCUGUAACUGACACUGAGCGCGAAAGCGUGGGGAGCAAACAGGAUUAGAUACCCUGGUAGUCCACGCCGUAAACGAUGAGUGCUAAGUGUUAGAAGGGUUUCCGUCCUUUAGUGCUGCAGCUAACGCAUUAAGCACUCCGCCUGGGGGAGGUACGGUCGCAGGACUGAAUACUCAAAGAAUUGACGGGGGCCCGCACAAGCGGGUGGAGCCAUGGUGGUUUAAUUCGAAGCAACGGCGAAGAACUUACAGUCUGACAUCGUCUGAACACCUCCUAAGGAUAGUACGUUCCCCUUCGGGGACGAAGUGACCAGGUGGUGCAUGUUGUUCGCUCAGCCUCGUCGUGAAUGUUUGGUUAAGUUCCCGCACGACGCAAGCUUGAAUCUAACUGCAAGCAUUCAUGGACUGUCUAAGGUAACUGGCCGGGUACCA
rnacentral:rRNA from 1 species